rnacentral:lncRNA from 1 species
UCAACCACAGCUAUCCUGAAUUUUGCAGAUCUGCGCCAAAAUCCCAGCCUUGAAUAUCUUCUACCUCCCGUGAAUCACCAAGCACUCCAGCUCUUCAAGCAAUUCCCUUCCCGGAUCUUCAAACUGACGAUCUUCUGGAAGUUGAUAUGGAGAUAUGAAAGGGUGUUUUGGUUUUGAGAGGGUUGAUGUUUUUAUUCAAAGAACCAUGAG